rnacentral:rRNA from 1 species
AGGGAUCAUUACUGAGUUUACGCUCUACAACCCUUUGUGAACAUACCUAUAACUGUUGCUUCGGCGGGUAGGGUCUCCGUGACCCUCCCGGCCUCCCGCCCCCGGGCGGGUCGGCGCCCGCCGGAGGAUAACCAAACUCUGAUUUAACGACGUUUCUUCUGAGUGGUACAAGCAAAUAAUCAAAACUUUUAACAACGGAUCUCUUGGUUCUGGCAUCGAUGAAGAACGCAGCGAAAUGCGAUAAGUAAUGUGAAUUGCAGAAUUCAGUGAAUCAUCGAAUCUUUGAACGCACAUUGCGCCCGCCAGCAUUCUGGCGGGCAUGCCUGUUCGAGCGUCAUUUCAACCCUCAAGCUCUGCUUGGUGUUGGGGCCCUACGGCUGACGUAGGCCCUCAAAGGUAGUGGCGGACCCUCCCGGAGCCUCCUUUGCGUAGUAACUUUACGUCUCGCACUGGGAUCCGGAGGGACUCUUGCCGUAAAACCCCCAAUUUUCCAAAGGUUGACCUCGGAUCAGGUAGGAAUACCCGCUGAACUUAA